rnacentral:lncRNA from 1 species
UGAGUCUCGGCCGUCAUGUCUGUAGAUGUUUACUUCUGUUUCCUUUUGCAGGCGAAAGAGUUCUGGUGGGGAGAAGAAAAAAGAGAGACCCUAAUUUUGAAGUCCGAAAGCUGAAGAAGACAAAACCCUAAAAACCCCGACCCAAUUUUUCGGAAUCAUAAGAAAACCCAGACGCUGAUUUUCGGAAUCCGCCGUUGGGCUCUCAAAGUUGGGCUUCUCUUUCGGCUUUGGUUUACACUGCUCGACAAACUCAGGAACAAUUGCGACUAGG